CCAGUUGGUUCAGUCUUGGGUUGGAAGGGGUUCUUGCGGGACCUCUCAGAUGUAACAUCUGGCUCCUCUUUCCCAGCAGCUGCUUUUCUCUGGCCAGUUCCAGACCUGGACAGGAGCAGUUUUCUAGAAGUGUCUUGCAGAGGUCAGAACAGAACUGGAAGUUAUGGAUACAGCCACGUGGAGGCUCGGGAACGUCUGGAAAAGACACUGAUUGACAGGAGGCUAUGAGGAGACCAGUCAUGGAGUUGCAAAUCCAGACUAUUCCUCAGAGGAGAGGGGGAAGGCUCCAUUUAACAGAACAGCAAUGGAGGCGGACUCCACACCCCAGAGGCACAUCUCCCAGAGGAGCCGCCCGGCGCUCAUUCAGCACCAUUGUUGAUGCUCAUUCAAGCCACAUGUGCGGUGACAGCCACAGAAAGCAGAGCACAGGGGCCAACUUCUGAGAGCUGGGAAAGGGAUCAGAAGAUCUGGUGAGUGGGCCCAGGAACAUGGCAUCAGACCGGAGCUAACUGGGGCUCUCUGGCGACUGAGACCUUCCCUGAGAUGGGAUCUGCAAAGCAAGCUGACAGGACAAGUCCCUGUUCUGUGAGGGGUUUGGAAGCUGGGCUGUGACCCCCUCCCAUUCUUCACACCAUCCGCAGUCAGUUACGUACCUAGAGAAGGGUCAGUAAAAAUGACAUUCAUUCUUCUUAGUCACUGGGCACCGGGACCUGCUAUUAACUCACAGGGCCUCCAGGGAGCCCUGGCAAUCAGGGCCUGCACUCAACAUCAUUUAUAAUGGGGACAUUAACAGACUGGUGAUAUAGCUCAAAGGUAGAACUCUUGCUUAGCAAGUCCAAAGCCCUAUGUUUGAUUCCCACCAACACCACAAAAAGCAACAGCAUGGGAUGUAGUGUUAACUGAAGCCUCCGGAAGCAAUUCCUUGCCCGAGGCCAGGUAGUUUAUCCCAGCAGAGCUGGAAAUCAAACCCAGGGCUUUGGGUAUAUUAGGUGAGUGUUCUUGCCAAUCAAGUUAUACCUCCAACUGAUAAAUAAAAUAACCUUUUAAGGGCUGGGGCUGUCACUCAGCGGCAGAACAUUUGUCUCCAAUAACAAAAAAUAAAGCCAAGAACCUGGCAUGGUAACAAAGUCCGAGUGUCAGCUAUGCAGGAGGCCAAGACAGGAUUGCUUGAGUCUAAGUCUUUGAGAUCUUGUUUCAAAAUACAAUUAACAAACUUUUGUUAUCCUGGAAGUUAAACAUGGAGAAGAUCAAAAACAUGAGGAAACAAAGCUGUCAUUCUGUGUCCCUGAUUAUAGAGAUCUGGAAGGACUGAGCCAGCUGGGUCAUAGACUCUGGAAUCACCUGGAAAAAGGGCGUCUGGACUUGCCUGUGAGGGGCUGCUGUGAUUAUGUUAACUGAUGUGGGAAGACCCCUUUUGCCGUGGCAGGAUCAUUCUUUCUGCCUUGGUUUCUCCACCAUGGAGAACUGUACUUGGAACCACGAGCCAAGACAAACCUGUGCUCACGCUCGAGCUGGCGCAUGCGUCACUAUGACAACAAAUCUGACACAAUUUAAGGGAAGAGAGGUUGAUUUGGGCUCGUGGUUUUGGAGGGUCCAGUUUAUCUCGAGGCACAGCAGGUUUGUGGCACCCAGAGUGCAUGACCAUGACGGUUGACAUGGGACAGACCAGGAAACAGAGAGAGCUAGAUGGGAAAUGGAGGGAGGGGUGCAAGUUUCAAAGGCCACCCCUAGUGGUUCACUUCUGUCAGCCAGGCCCCACUUCCUAAGGGCUCCAAAACCUGACCACUCAAAAUGUCAGCCUGUAAGAAAACAUUUUAGUUUCAGAUACAGGCAUAGGGAUGUUAUUCUGGCUACCUGAGAGGCUGAGCAAGAGGGGCACAGGUUCAAGACUGGCCUGAGAAACUAAACAAGCCCCUGUCUAUAAAUAAAAUGGAAAAAAGAGAUCUGUGAAUGUAGCUUAGUGAUAGGGUGUAAAGGUGAGGCGUCCGUCCCUAGUACUGGAGGACAAAUAACACCAUAAACUAAACACACACACACAUACACACACACACACACACACAUACACACAGGAUUGGUGAUGUCUCCCAUCCACAUGUCACAUUCCUGGGUGAGGCAGAGUUGGAGAGACAGUGUCAAGCAGGACUGGGUAGAGGCACGCCCCAAUUGUGCCUGGGUUUUCCAGCACAGGAACUGAAGACCCAAGAGCCGCCUCUGGGCCCGUGAAUCCUUGCAGCUUAGCAAGGGUCUUUUCUCCCCACUCCAACACUGUAGGGAACAUCUACAGGUCCAAGAUGCAUGAGAAUUUGAGUCUCGUUUCAAGGAGACAGACUCUCAGAGCAGAGUGACCAGAGUUGAGACAUUCUCUGCUUCCCUUGAGCCUUGCCUCAGGGCUCUGCCAACCUUCUCCAUCAGCAGAUGUCCCUGAGCAUACAGCUUUGGGGCCCUCUGGACCUAGCCUGUAGUUCAGGCCACAGGCACACUUCUAUCCAGAGAAAGCCCUGUACCUAUCCUUGUAUUUUAGAGACUGGUUUUGUACUGGCAUGGGGUUGUGGACACAGAUGUCAGGGCCCCCAGGCUCUGCCAGCUUAACAGAGUUCAGGUUCCCGCUGGGAAGACAGGGCCUUGUUACAAGCAGCAGAAGACCCUGGGCAGGAGACUCUGACCCCACUUCCCAGCAGCAUCCCCUUUUCCCUUUGGAGUAAACUGAGUCUCAGAGUCUAGAAGGCCAUUCCAGGACACAUAUGCCAACCUAGGGAACUUGCUCCUUCUCCACCCGACCAAUCUCAGGGAGGUCCCCAUGGACCAACCAGUCCUCAGCCCAGUUCAAAGCCACAUUACACAAAGGGGCACUAGCUAAAGAACUCUGCUCACAGUUUAGCCUGCUUCCACCCGACCAUGCUAUUCCUACAUUCAGCUACCCUGUGGUUGUCUGUGUGAGUAAAACAUGGAGAGAUGGUUCAGUCAGUAAAGUGUAUGGACCCAAGUUCAAAUCCCAGGACUUAUUUUUAAAAAGGCCAGACAUAGCAAUGCUUACUUGUCUCUUUUUUUUGUUUUUGUUUUUCAAGACAGGGUUUCUCUGUGUAACAGUCCUGGCUGUCCUGGAACUAGCUCUUGUAGACCAGCCUGAUCUUGAAUUCACAGAGAUUCUCCUGCCUCUGACUCCUGAGUACUGUGAUUAAAGAUGUGUGCCUCCACCGCCAGGCCAACAAGGCUUACUUGUAAUCCCAACACUGGGGAGGUAGAGACAGGAAGGUCUCCGGGGCUGGAUGGCCACACAGAUGUUGAAAUAUGAGCGGCGGGGCUGCGUCCCCGGCACCCGGCUGCCCGCAUGGCUAGCUUAUGCCCGAAAUAAUUACACGGAAACUGUAUUCUUUCAAACACUGCCUGGCCCGGCUAGAUCCAGAUUCUUAUUGGAUAGCUCUUACAUAUUGUUCUAACCCAUUUCUAAUAUUCUGUGUAGCCCACGAGCUGGCUUACCAGGGAGGAUCUUAACCUGCGUCUGUCUAGAACGGGAGAAUCAUGGUGACUCCCUCACUAAGCUUCUUUCUCCCAGAAUUCUCUUCUGUUUUCUCCACCCACCUAAGGGUGGGCCUAUCAAGGGGCCUAGGCAGUUUCUUUAUUAAUAAGAAAUCACUCCCACAUCACACAGACAAACCUGAUUGGUGAGCCCGGGGCUAGUGAAAGAUCCUGGCUCAAACAAACAAACAAAAAAUUGGUGAAUGGUACUUGAAGAACUAUAGCUGAGGUUGUCCUCUGACUGCUACACACAGGUCACAUGAGCACACGCGUGCCUACACAUGCACAUGCGCACACGCGCGUGCACACAUACACACACAAUAAUAAAAGUGAGCGUUUGUAUUAGUUCCUUUUCUACUGCUGUGAUAAAACACAGUGACAAGUCAAUUUAUAGAAAAGUUUAUUAGGAAUAUGGUGCCAGAGAAAUCAGAGUCCACGAUGGCACAGUGGAAACCCAGCAACGGAGUGCAGACGUGGUGGCGGGGACAGAACUGAAAACAGAGUAAACUGGACAUGUUGACAGGAUUUUAACUUGCAAGGCAUCCCCGGUGAUGCUGUGGUCUCCCCCCCCCCCCAACAAGGCUGCACCUCCUAUGCCUCCCAAACAGUGCCACCAACUGGGGAUCAAGUGUCCAAAUGCCCAAGACCAUGAAGGACCUUUCUCAUUCAAUCCACCACAGUAGCGGAGACAGAAUAUUGGUCAGUAGAUCUCACAUUACUUCAGUUCCUAAGAAUGAUAGGAUCUAGGGCUGGAAAGAUGGCUCAGGGUUAAGAGCGCUGGCUGCUUUCCAGAGGACCUGGGUUCAGUUUCCAGUAACCACAUGGUACCUCACAAUCAUCUAAUGUGGGAUCUGAUGCCCUCUUCUGGCAUAAAGGUGUACGUGCAAAUA